rnacentral:lncRNA from 1 species
UGACAUGAUGUUCAUCCCGAUUGAUAGUUGCAGGUCUACUUUCAUCAUGUGUGUUUUUAUCAACAGUAACCAAGCUUCAUCUCAUUUGCAUUGCUGCACUGAACUGGCCUACUGUGUGUCUGAUUUUUGGCGUUAAUUAGACAACUGACCAGAGCAGACGCGUCCUCUGUCACUGGAAGGGAACGUACUUGGCUACGUAUGAUCUUCAUAUUAUUCAAUAUGCUUCAUUGCAAUUGGUAGGAGACAAAGACUGAACCUGAAACACCGCCAUAGCCA